GACGAACGCUGGCGGCGUGCUUAACACAUGCAAGUCGAACGGAAAGGCCCCUUUGGGGGUCCUCGAGUGGCGAACGGGUGAGUAACACGUGAGUAACCUGCCCUUGACUUCGGGAUAACUUCAGGAAACUGGGGCUAAUACCGGAUAGGAAUCCUUGCUGCAUGGUGGGGGUUGGAAAGCUUCGGCGGUUUUGGAUGGACUCGCGGCUUAUCAGCUUGUUGGUGGGGUAGUGGCUUACCAAGGCUUUUGCGGGUAGCCGGCCUGGGAGGGCGACCGGCCACAGUGGGACUGAGAUACGGCCCAGACUCCUACGGGAGGGAGCAGUGGGGAAUAUUGAAAAAGGGGAGGAAGCCAGAGGCAGAAACGGCGCGGGCGGGAUGACGGCCUUGGGGUUGGAAACCGCAUUCAGCAGGGGCGAAGCUUGUGGUGACGGUACCUGCAGAAGAAGCACCGGCUAACUACGUG
rnacentral:rRNA from 1 species